AUUGAACGCUGGCGGCAUGCCUUACACAUGCAAGUCGAACGGUAACAGGUCUUCGGAUGCUGACGAGUGGCGAACGGGUGAGUAAUACAUCGGAACGUGCCUAGUAGUGGGGGAUAACUACUCGAAAGAGUGGCUAAUACCGCAUGAGAUCUACGGAUGAAAGCAGGGGAUCGCAAGACCUUGUGCUACUAGAGCGGCCGAUGGCAGAUCAGGUAGUUGGUGGGAUAAAAGCUUACCAAGCCGACGAUCUGUAGCUGGUCUGAGAGGACGAUCAGCCAAGCUGGGACUGAGAGACGGCCCAGACACCUAGGGGAGGCAGCAGUGGGGACUUUUGGAGAAUGGGGGAAAGCCUGAUCCAGCAAUGCCGCGUGCAGGAAGAAGGCCUUCGGGUUGUAAACUGCUUUUGUACGGAACGAAAAGCCCCGGGUUAAUACCCUGGGGUCAUGACGGUACCGUAAGAAUAAGCACCGGCUAACUACGUGCCAGCAGCCGCCGUAA
rnacentral:rRNA from 1 species